UACGAAGGGAGCUAGCGUUGUUCGGAAUCACUGGGCGUAAAGCGCACGUAGGCGGAUGUGUCAGUCAGGGGUGAAAUCCCGGAGCUCAACUUCGGAACUUCCUUUGAUACAGCACGUCUUGAGUCCGAUAGAGGUGGGUGGAAUUCCUAGUGUAGAGGUGAAAUUCGUAGAUAUUAGGAAGAACACCGGUGGCGAAGGCGGCCCACUGGAUCGGUACUGACGCUGAGGUGCGAAAGCGUGGGGAGCAAACAGG
rnacentral:rRNA from 1 species